GGGAUCUCCAGACCCUGGGAUCUAAUGCCUGGUGAUCUGAAGUGGAGCUGAUGUAAUAAAGAAGUAAAACGCACAACCAAUGUAAUGCGCUCGAAUCAUCCCGAAACCAUCCCUCCCCAUCUCUGGUCCCUGGAAACACUGUCUUCUACAAAACCAGUCCCUGCUGUCAAAAAAGCUGAGGACUUCUGGCCAAGGGCGAGUUUGCAUAUUGGAGUUUUUUCUGCAGUAGUUCCCCAUUCUCCAGGGAGGGAGGCUGAGAACCGGCUGGGAGGAAGUAGAGGGCAGAGCGUCUCCUUGAUGUUGGUUGCGGAAAACGUGACUGGCUUUUUGGGGGAGUACCAAGUAGCUGCAAGAGGCUCAACUGAAAAUUUUCCAAAGAAUCCCCUCGAGCCCACAGCUCUCUUCUCUAAAAGUGGGUUCCCAAGCUCAGGAAGGGUGAGGGGAACCAUCCUCUUCACCUGAGAAUUUCAUGUUUAUUCGUGAUUUGACAUUUCAGUUCAGUUUAAUCACUCAUUUUGGGUAGGGUUAAUCAAACAGUGUCUAUCCCUCAGAAAUCGAUGUUCUUAUUAUUCAAGGGGCUAAACUCACCUGUGGCCUGCAGCUGACCUCAGCUUACGUGAACAUCAUAUUCCCACCUGGCAUCUGGCAUCUCAGGCAGUCCUCUUGAGUUAAGUCGGGUGGCUGGAUCUAAACUCUUCAGUGAACGGCUUGACUCCUUCCUGAGGGGUGUGCGGAACAGGUCACAGGGGCACAGAAACAAAACAGGUUCAGACAUGGGGAACACCAAGGAAUGAGCAUUUUAAGACCUUACUAGCCUUUGUGAAUUUUUCCCCCAAUACCAACCUUUUGCUUUUAAACCAUUACUUAGCACUUCAGUUAUGGAAAAUUUGGGGGCAGAGGUGAGAAGGGGGCAGAUAGGAGGUGGGAGAGAUUGGUUUGUAUGGAAAUGUUGGUGAGAAAAGUCUAGAUGUGAUUACCUAUGAAAGCUGGAUGUCUUGUAUUUAGGAUAACUGGGGGGGGAGCUGAGACUGGGGUACAUUAAGACAAAACACCCUGGGUGCUACUGCUUAUGAUUCUGCUCUUGGAAAUGUCCUUUCCACAAUAUGGACUAGUUCUCUCACCAAUGACCAUCAAGAUGGGACAUAUUACCAUUAAAAAGCUGUCUCUCGUAGGCUGUUAAAAUGCCAGUAUUCCUAAACCGCUCUUGGUGACUCUGAACCAGUGUAAAGAGGUCAGUUAGCUGCUUUGUUUUAUUUUCUAGCCUGAUGAGAGCAAGUAGUGAAAAUACUGUCCGUAUCGACCCACCCACAAAUAACCACAAUUA
ensembl:lncRNA